rnacentral:misc_RNA from 1 species
AAGUCGUAACAAGGUUUCCGUAGGUGAACCUGCGGAAGGAUCAUUAACACUUUUAAGACUGGGAAAGGAGGAUUUACUUUCUCCUGACCCUUUCUUUCCAAACCCCCCCUUUUAUGCGAACUUGUUUUUAUUCAGUUUUAUCCCGGGUUUUCUUUAGUAUUCGUACCGAAGAAGCCUGUGGUCCUUUAUUUAAUUUCAAAACCCCUUGAAUUUUCAUUAGACUGAAUUAGCUUUAAAACUAACGUUUUAUUGCUUUCAACUAAUACGCUGAACAACUCUUAGCAACGGAUAUCUUGGCUCUC